GGAGAACUAACACCGGUACAACCAUCAUUGCCUGUUUUAAGUUAUUGAAGGCUGCUUGACACUCGUUAGUCCAUUGUCACUUGUUUUUCUUUUUCAACAAUUCUGUAAGGGGACAUACCCUUUGAGAGUAGCCCUACACAAACCAACUAUAAUAAUUCACUAAUCCCAAUAAGAAUCUCAAUUCAGUUAUGCUCUUAGGUACUGCCCAUUCCUGCAUUACUUUUACUUUGGCUUAGUCCAUGUGGAUUAUGCCCUGUUCAAUCACAUGGCUUAAGAACUUGAUUCGAGUCUGGGCGAAAGCACAUUUCUCCUUCUUCACAAAGAGUUUGUUCCAUAGUUAUAAGAUUCGCUACAAACCCUCGAGCUCCGCGAUCUGAUUCGCGCAUCCUGAUUCACAAGAUGUUUUCGUAUCAAUUUGCUAGGAUACGUGAACUGAGUCGCCUUGCCAAGAUGACGCACCAUAAAUCCUCAAAAAUUGCAGGGAAAGAUAGUGAAGAUUGAAGAAGAAGAUACACUUAAAAAUAGCAAGAACCAAAAAGAAGGAGAAGGAAAAGAGAAGCCUAGAGGAAGGUGAACAGCUGAAGAAGACGAUGUAAAAACAAAGAAAAAAAAGAAAAGAGAAAAGUCUACAAUUGACAGACCUUUCAAUUGUCUAUUUUAAUUAUUCCACUACAGUUGGCACAUUUUACCUAAAAAUAUAUAGCUGGCGCAUAUUAAAAAAUAACUAUAGCUGUAGUUAUUUAUAGUACCAAAUUAAUGUUUAUAAUGUUAAUAAAUAUAUAUACUCGUUAAAUUUUAUUCUUUUAUCAUCGUG
rnacentral:misc_RNA from 1 species